rnacentral:rRNA from 1 species
CUUUACUGUAGCCUGGAAUUGGGUUCGGGCUUUGACUGCGCAGGAUAGGUGGGAGACUAUGAGACAUCCCUUGUGGGGGAUGUGGAGUCAUCAGUGAGAUACCACUCUGUCAAGGCUAGAAUUCUAACUCAUUGCCGUGAUCCGGCAUGGGAACAGUUUCAGGUGGGCAGUUUGACUGGGGCGGUCGCCUCCUAAACGAUAACGGAGGCGCACAAAGGUUCCCUCAGGCUGGUUGGAAAUCAGCCGAAGAGUGUAAAGGCACAAGGGAGCUUGACUGUGAGACUGACAAGGCGAGCAGGGUGGAAACACGGUCUUAGUGAUCCGACGGCACUGAGUGGAAGGGCCGUCGCUCAACGGAUAAAAGUUA